UCUUCUCAAACAUGAUGCACGGCGUUGCCGGUGGCCAUGGGUACCCUCACCAGGGAUACCCUCCGCAGGGCUACCCACCACCACAAGGAGCAUACCCACCUCCCCCAGGGGCGUAUCCUCCUCCUCCACCAGGGGCAUACCCACCUCCACCUGGGGCAUACCCACCACAACAUGGGUACCCUCAGCCAGGUGGCUACCCACCGCAAGGUGGAUAUCCUCCUGCAGGCUACCCAGGCUCAUCUCACCAGGGUAUGAUACUACAGUUAAUAUACUACAGAGGAGUUUAGAGAUUGUUUUGGUUUGCUCUGUUGUAUUGCUUUUUAUUGUUCAGAUUCAGAACUCGUACACCUUAACUAACAUUUGUAUCCUGAUCAUGUUGGAAAUUGGUAGUAGUUCUAUUUUGUUGAUUCAGUCAAAUGACAAUAGAUAGCUAAGCAUUCCUUUCACAAAAGAAGUGGUCAUGAGAAUAGCUAAUUCGUCCAACUCUAGCAAAUACUCAUUUUCUAUUUACAAAUUAUUGAAACACUUUAUAUACUACACUCAGGUGUUGAGAUUGUUUUGGAUUGCUUUGUUGUAUUGUUAUAUACAUUUUAUUUUUCAGAUUUAAAACUGUACUACCUCAUACAGCUGCACUAACAUUUAUAUAUACAUUUUAUUGUUGUAAUGUUGGAAAUUGGUAUUUCUGUUCUGCUGAUCCAGUCAAACGUUGAAUCUCAGUUCAUGCUAAUGUCUCUUGUGAUUUCAGGUUAUGGGAGCAGCCAUGGCGGGAGCCACAUGGGGAUGGGGACAGUUCUAGCUGGAGGUGCUGCCGCCGCCGCAGCUGCUUAUG
rnacentral:lncRNA from 1 species